CCUACGGGAGGCAGCAGUAGGGAAUCUUCCGCAAUGGACGCAAGUCUGACGGAGCAACGCCGCGUGAGUGACGAAGGUUUUCGGAUCGUAAAACUCUGUUGUGAGGGAAGAACACGUACCAACUAACUAUUGGUACCUUGACGGUACCUCACCAGAAAGCCACGGCUAACUACGUGCCAGCAGCCGCGGUAAUACGUAGGUGGCAAGCGUUGUCCGGAAUUAUUGGGCGUAAAGCGCGCGCAGGCGGUUCCUUAAGUCUGAUGUGAAAGCCCACGGCUCAACCGUGGAGGGUCAUUGGAAACUGGGGAACUUGAGUGCAGAAGAGGAAAGUGGAAUUCCACGUGUAGCGGUGAAAUGCGUAGAGAUGUGGAGGAACACCAGUGGCGAAGGCGACUUUCUGGUCUGUAACUGACGCUGAGGCGCGAAAGCGUGGGGAGCAAACAGGAUUAGAUACCCUGGUAGUCCACGCCGUAAACGAUGAGUGNUAGUAGUUAGGGUUACGGUCCGUACGUGUCUGNNGCUACGACAUAGUACACUCCGCCGUCGGGUAGGUACGGCCGGCGACGGACGUGAACGUACGAAUAGAGUUAGUACGGCGUGAGACGUAGACCGACGGACGACGACCGACGGGAGGAGG
rnacentral:rRNA from 1 species